AAAAAGCUCGUAGUUGGAUCUCAGCUCCGGCCGGACGGUCCGCCUACCGGUGGUUACUGUUCGCUGCCGAGCGUUCAGGCGGUUAUUCUUGAUGAUCUUCACCGGUUGUCUCGGGUGACCGCCAAGUUUACUUUGAAAAAAUUAGAGUGCUCAAAGCAGGCGUGACGCCUGAAUAAUUGUGCAUGGAAUAAUGGAAUAGGACCUCGGUUCUAUUUUGUUGGUUUUCGGAUCCCGAGGUAAUGAUUAAGAGGGACAGACGGGGGCAUUCGUAUUGCGACGCUAGAGGUGAAAUUCUUGGACCGUCGCAAGACGAACUACUGCGAAAGCAUUUGCCAAGAAUGUUUCCAUUAAUCAAGAACGAAAGUUAGAGGUUCGAAGGCGAUCAGAUACCGCCCUAGUUCUAACCAUAAACGAUGCCAGCCAGCGAUCCGGCUGUGUUCCUCAAAUGACACGCCGGGCAGCUUCCGGGAAACCAAAGCUUUUGGGUUCCGGGGGAAGUAUGGUUGCAAAGCUGAAACUUAAAGGAAUUGACGGAAGGGCACCACCAGGAUUGGAGCCUGCGGCUUAAUUUGACUCAACACGGGAAAACUUACCCGGCCCGGACACAGGAAGGAUUGACAGAUUAAGAGCUCUUUCUUGAUUCUGUGGGUGGUGGUGCAUGGCCGUUCUUAGUUGGUGGGGCGACUUGUCUGGUUAAUUCCGAUAACGAACGAGACUCUAGCCUACUAAAUAGACGUUCCCAUCAUUUACUGUGGGACGUUCUUCUUAGAGGGACAAGCGGCGUUUAGCCGCACGAGACAGAGCAAUAACAGGUCUGAGAUGCCCUUAGAUGUCCGGGGCCGCACGCGCGCUACAUUGAAGGAAUCAGCGUGUGCUUUCCCUGUCCGAGAGGACUGGGUAACCCGUUGAAACUCCUUCGUGCUGGGGAUUGGCCAAUGUAACUGAGGCCAUGAACGAGGAAUUCCCAGUAAGCACGAGUCAUCAGCUCGUGUUGAUUACGUCCCUGCCCUUUGUGCACACCGCCCGUCGCUACUACCGAUUGAGUUAUUUAGUGAGGUCUUCGGACUGGCGCUCGGAUUGGCCUUCGCGGUCGAGCCGGUGUGCCGGAAAGAUGACCGAACUUGAUUACUUAGAGGAAGUAAAAGUCGUAACAAGGUUUUC
rnacentral:rRNA from 1 species